AUUGAACGCUGGCGGCAGGACUAACACAUGCAAGUCGAGCGGAGGGGCGGACGGGUGAGUAAUGCCUAGGAAUCUGCCUGGUAGUGGGGGAUAACGUCCGGCAACGGGCGCUAAUACCGCAUACUAUCAGAUGAGCCUAGGUCGGAUUAGCUAGUUGGUGGGGUAAAGGCCUACCAAGGCGACGACCCGUAACUGGGCUGAGAGGAUGAUCAGUCCCACUGGAAAUUAGACACGGUCCAGACUCCUACGGGAGGCAGCAGGGGGGAAUAUUGGACAAUGGGCGAAAGCCUGGUCCAACCAUGCCGCGUGUGUGAAGAAGGUCUUCGGAUUGUAAAGCGCUUUAAGUUGGGAGGCGUUACCAGCAGAAGAAGCACCGGCUAACUUCGUACCAGCAGCCGCGGUAAUUC
rnacentral:rRNA from 1 species